AAUAGCAAGUCAAGAGGGGAGCCACGUUUUCCUGGGGCUGAGCAGGGAGCCAAGCUGAGAUAGCGCUGCUUGCCGGAGCGUCUGGACAGCACGGACAGAAAAGGGCCCCUCUUCCCAGCAUCCAGCCCCCAGAUGGGUUUUGGCUUCAAAGGGCUUAGCUGUGACCUUCAAGCAAGGCUAAGGUGGGAGCUGGAGCCUGCUGUCUCAGUCUGAAGGGGUGCAGUGGUGGAGUCCCCAUCCCUGGAGGUGUUGGGAGAGACUGGAUGUGGUGCCAUGCUGAUAUUGGGUCUUGGGUUGGACUGGAUGAUCUCAGAAGUCUUUUCCACCCUCAGAUUCCAUGGCUCUGUGGUGGGUGUGAUGUGUAGCUGGGGUGCCUCCAUGCCCUGCUGCUGGCUGCAUCCUCCCAGAUGUGAACUGUGGGGUUUAUAUCCUCUUCUUUGGGCCUGUUUGGACCAAGCAGAUCGGAGGAAAGCCUUCAGCCAAGAGUGCUGUCCUUAUUUAUUAGAGCCUUGACAAGUUAAAUAGAGGUAGAGAUUAAAUAUGAAUGGGACUUAUGUUGGAAAGCUCAGCCUUAGAGACAUUAAAGAAAAGGAAGUUAAUUCAAUAGGGAAGUCACCUGACUAACAGGAUGAAAAUCUGAGUAUGAGGGGGAUGCUGAUCAUGUCCCACUUCCCUUGUGGAGCAGAGGAGCUGGGAUAGGACACCUGAAAGGUGCCUGGCAGAUGUGGCAUCGUCCUGUUCAGGGGGGAGCUGCAGCCACAGAUAAGCAUCAUCAUUUUAACCUCUCUUGUAAGUCUGUCUUUCUGAAAAGCAGUAAAAGCUGUCUACUUUUGCAACUUA